UUCAGGAUUAUUCCAUAAUGAUGCAUAUGACUAUCUAUAAUGUGAUGUCUGGCACAUUUUAUGAAUUUUGCUCCAAACAUGUCAUGAAUGUAUUUUCACUGGAUGUAUUUCCCAUUUAGCUCCAGAGCAUUGUGAAAGAAUGCUAAUGGGAUGAAGUGGUGAGGCUAGAUUCUAUUGUGUCUUGACCAGUCCAAUUCAGAAUCUGCCUCGUCCCAAUGUUUAAGCCAGUUUGGCGGUUUCAAAGGAGAAAUUAUACAUUCGCACAUUGGGUAAUCCAAGGCCCCCCUUGUCCUUUGGGGAGGUCAACCUGCUCAUUUUAAUCCUGGGUCUUUUUCCUUCCCAUAGAAAAUCCUUGAUAAUUUUGUCAUAUGUUUUAAAAAUAGGGUCUGGAAUGUUCACAGGUGUCAUCACUGAUAUAAAAUUGAACUGCGAAGCAAUAACCAUUUUGAAUAUAUUCACUUUACCCCAUAGAGAGCUGCAGCUGUUCCCAUUUGUCCACAUUAUUAUAUAUAUAUUUUUUAUCUUUGACAGCAGUACUUCAUAAUUCAACAUCAUUAUAUCCUCCAAAUUCUGCGUUAGUUUAAUGCCAAGUACUUCAUACCCUUCAGAAUCCAUUUAAAGCCAAAUUAGGUCACUGUAUGGGAAUGACAUGUUCUAGAUAGGCAUAGCCUCAGAUUUCUCCCAGUUUAUUUUGCAUCCUGACACACUUGAAUAUAAUUGAAUAAUACUCAUUAAUGGAGAUAGAGAUUUGAGAGUAUCACGGGAUAACAAAAAAAACAUAUCAUAACUUGUAUUCCAUCCCCUCCUCUACCUCCCUUACUCCCACAAUGUUUGGGUCUGCUUAUAAUAUUCAGCUGGAAACCCAUCCGCCCCUGGUGAUUUGCCAGACUUCAUAGAGGUUAUUGCAGCUUUGACCUGCUCUUGUUAAUGGGAAGGUCUAGAGACUCGGAUUGCAAUACAUCUAAUUUAGGUAACUCUAUAUUACAAAAUUUUUUUCAGUUUUUCUCCAUCCAGACUACCUGAAGAUGUAUAUAAAUGUUUAUAGAACUUCUGAAAACCUCUUUUAUUUCCUUUGUUAGUGAUACCAUAGCAUAUCCUUUCUUAAUUGCUGGAAUAAUGUUAGCAGCAUUUUGUGUUUUAAUUGUCUGGAAAGGAGCUUGCCCGCUUUUUCACCUCCUUCAUAAAAACCUUGUCCGUAGUCUAAAUAGUGCAUAUUCAUCUUUUUUAUUAUAUAUAAAAUAUUGUAAUUGAAAUUUGUAUUUACAAAUAUCCUGAUAUAGAUCAGUAGAGUAUCAUCUAGUCAGCUCCUUCUCCAAUGUACAAAUUGUUGCUUCAAAUUUCUUAACCGAGUCUCUUCCUUCCAUUUUUUUCUUUCUAGCUGUAUGUGCAAUCAGUUUUCCUCUAAUGUAUGCCUAGUGCUUCCCACAUUCAAUUAAAAGAAGGAAGUCAGAUCAUCAGCCAAUAAUGUGUUAAACUCUUCAUCUUGUAAUAAUGCAGUAUUUCAAUGCCACCUUCCCUUUCUACCAGCUUCCGUACUUAGCGCUAAAUCCAAUUCCAAUCGUGUGGUCUGACAAUACUAUUGCUCCAAUUUUACAAUUUAAUCUACUACCUGAUCAAUGAUAGAAUUCGAAAGCAAGAAAAAAGAGUGAGAUUUAUGGCAAUGAGAAAAAAUGAACAACCCCAAUUCCAAAAAAGUUGGGACGCUGUGUAAAAUGUAAAUAGAAAUAGAAUGAUUUGCAAACCUUAUAAACCCAUAUGUUAUUCACUAAUUGCAUUCUGUUUUCAUUUAUUUACAUUUUACAGUGUCCAAAAUUCUUUUCAAAAUUGGGGUUGUAUACUCUCUUUCUGUUGGAGUGACCAGGCGCCAUAUGUCAAUCAAUCCAAUAUCCUCUUUUAGCAUAAGAAGGGAAGAUCUAUCUCUUGGUAUAGAAAGUCCUUGAUAUUUACUCUUAACCAUAAUCCCAUCCAUAACCUGAAUAAAUUCCUCAGCCAAAAUUAUUUGCCCCUCUUUGUCACCAAGAAUCUUGUUUACUUUAUUAAUAAAACCCGGAUCUGUAUUAAUAGGGGCAUACACAUAAUAUCACUUUAGAUUAUAUGCAAUGUAUAUGACUUCCAUUAAUGAGGGUUUCUAUACACAUAAUCCUCUCAACAUCGACUUUAGUUUCUGUUAUCAUUACAAAAUUCAGCCUCUAAUUUAUCAGGAUCAUUACUUAAUUUUGUUUGCUCAUAAAUAAUGAAUAAAAUACAUUUGUACGGAAGCCCUAAGCGGCCAUGCAUUAUUAAUUUUUUUCUUUGUUGUUUUCUCGUGAUUGUGACAUAAAAAAAGCUGUUUCCUUGUGACGUAAAUUUAUCACGAGAAAAUCUCACGCUUUGUGAAUGGGACUGGUGUUACAUGCAAGUUGGCAUCUACACCAUUAUAAAUAUAAUAAUUUCCUGUUGUAGAGAUGGAUUUUAUCUCCACAUUAAGAGAGAGGGAUAUCCUCUUCUCAAGUGUCGGACACUGGAGUGGCAGUCGUCAAUCCUGCAGGGAUGAGGUAUAUUUUUGUAGGCCAACCCGGAAGUUAUUAUCACCCUGGUUCCCUCGACAAAAAUCCAAUAAGAGUUUUCCAGUGAAUUUGGAUUAUUGCAGAAAAUAAACACUGUGACUAACAAGUAUAAACACAACAAGGCUGUAGUAGAUUAGUUUUCCUGUUUGGCGUGAUGAUGUUUAAUGUCCUCGACAACCUCUGUAAUACCAUUUAGCCACUUGUUAGCAACUGUCUCUUUCAAGACACGUAAAAGCUUUAAAAAAAAAAAAAAUCCUGAGUGGGGUAUUACUGAUGUGUUUUAGUGGUUCACAAACUGGGGUACGUGAGGUGACGGAGGGGGUACGGGAGCAAAAGGCUGAGAUUUACUGUUCAUUUAAUUCCGCCUCACUGAAUAACAUUAAAAUUCUAAUCCAUGUUUUUCUCACGGCCAAAAAAUAAACUUGUGCCCCCUCCAGUGUACAAACAGCAAAAUUGCAAUGUUAUAAAGGUCAAAUAUAUGACAUCCAGUCAAAUUAUCCUGUCAAAACACAUUUUGUUGGACUGCAAAAGGUAUGAGGAGGAAAGAACUGAGCUAGAGAUGCAGAUUGGAAAACAAAACAUGACACUAGAGAACUUGCUGGGGAAAACAUCUGGGAAAAUGCACCGCCCCCUAAUAAACUAUUUAAAAAAUGCUGGGAUAAGUGAGAGACUUUAGUAAUCUAGUAGGAAUAUCUACUAUACAGCUAUUUGUCUCUUUAUUUUCUUUUAUUUAUGUAUUAUUGUGUUGGUAUUAUUAUUAUUAAUUUGUUUCUUUUAUUUUUUAUUUUAUUAUAUUUUCCUUAUUUAUUAUUUGGUUGUUUUUCUUUUCUUGCCCAUCUACUGCCUACACUCCAGUCCAGUAGGUGGCGGUAAUGCACCUUUAGUGGUUUGCCAACCGCCAUUAAAACAUGAAGAAGAAGAAGAAGAAGAAGAAAUUAUCCUGUCUUUCGCGGUCAAAACUGCAUCCACUCACAAUCAUGCGUCAGUGCGCAUCUUACCGCAUGUCAUUUAUCACCAGCACAUGGCUAUAUGAUGAAGUUAAGUAAUAGCUCGUAACCUUAAAAUGGAGAAGUACAAAGAUUUCGGCCCGCAACCACAGCAAGCACCGCUGAUCCCCAGUCCUCAGACAGCAGUGGCCCAGGUCCCUCUAACACCGCAUCCGUAGCAAGUGUACUCAUUGCUACUAGCCCAGGUCACACUGAUGCAGACAGCGAUGUAUGAGUUGAAACGCCAUCUCUUCUUCACAAGCAGUUCGCAGAAAAAACAUCAAAGAUGCGCAGAUAUGAUGAGAAAUAUAUUUCUUUGGGCUUUACAUACGCUGACAGUGAAGAAAAUCCCCAGCCACAGUGUGUAUAUGUGCAAACGUACUCUUUCAUAACUGCAUGAAACCAGCAUUUCUGCGCAGACAUUUAGAAACAAAGCAUGCCAUUUACUUUUUGCUAAAUAAACCUCGAGAGCUUUUUGAAAGACAUUUAAGACAACUCAGAAGUAGUAAGACCCUCAUAACAGUGUAGGAAAACCUAAAUAGGAAGGUCUGGAAGCAUCCUACAUGGUGAGCUACAGAGUGGCUGAGACAGGAAAACCCCAUACUAUUGUGGAGGACUUCAUUCUUCCUGCUGCAGCUGAUAUAGCUGGUUUAAUGCUUGGCGAAAAGCCCCCAAAACAAAAAAACAAUAGAGAGGAUGCCAUUUGGUAAGGUGAAAUUGAUUAAAUUUAUAUUUCUCAAUUUAUUUAAUCAUUCCUCUCUUUCCCUUGUAAACAUUACACAAUCAUACAUGUUCAACAGUCUUCACCACAUGUCAAGCAUAAUCAUGUUUGAUGUUUCCCUAUUUUCAGCAACGAAUGAUUUAAUCCAGAAUGUCCUAUUCGGAGCCGAGUGAUAAUUGUAUUUUCUCUCCUAUUUUUUGAGACCUAUUCUCCCUUUCCCAACCUGUUUUUGGCUAUUGAAUAGGUGCCUUCCCUUUUUUCCUUUGUCCCACAUUUCACAUUCACAAGUUCUCUCAUUCUUCCUUCUACUGCUUCUUUACCUAGUGGUAUAUGGUAUAUAUGGUAUAACUUUAACAUCCACAUGAUCCAUUGUCCACUAUUUCAUUUCCUCAUACUCCCACAUGUGCUGCUACACAAAGAAAUCUCAGAACCAUCCCUAGUUUCUGAAUUCUAAGCAGAUGUGUAAGUAUCUCAUAUACUAAAUCUUGUCUUGAAUCAGACUUCCCAUUUAAUAAGCUAUUUAAAGGUGAUUGAGAGUCUGGACAAAUAGCAGCAAAAUCACUAUAAACUCUGUUGUAAAAACUGAUACAUAAUUAGUUGUCCAUUUUUUUAAUGCUGCCUUUGAACCUCUUAAUAUAUACCACCGCAGCUGUUUUUUCUAAUGUAGGAUCUUUUGAACCAUUGGUGAAUAUGUGGGGCAUUGAAGAGUAUUCCUGAUCUAAAUACUGCUGUACAAUAACCUCCUUAGGUAUAUAUGUUUCAUUCUUAACUUUAUAUUAUAGAUGGAAAUUGACUUGAGCCAUGGGGAACAACCAGGGAGGUUUAUUUAGUACUACAAUUGUUGGAUUAACUGAAGUUUCUGUAACUCCCAAAUUCAUAGACUCUUUAUUCGCUGUCCAACCAAAACUUCUUAUAUUAUUAUUCCCACACUUCCAGCACUCUUGUAGUAUUUCCUUAACUGGGUGUGUCUCAGAAUGUCCUUUCAUAUUAAUCCAAUAAUUCAUUGUUAAUUUUAACUUGCGUAUACACAUGGGCAUUUCUCCCACCUCCAUUUGCGCUGCUGUUAUUGGAGAGGAUACAAAAGCACCACAACAUAUUCUUAACAAUUGUGCCUGUACUGUUUCAAUUUUCCUCAUCAAGGCUAAUGAUGCAGACCCAUAUAUUAUAUAUCCAUAAUUCAGUAGUGACCUGAUCAAUGCACAAUAUAUUUGUUAUGAAGAUUUUUGACUAGCUCCCCAUUCCAUUCCUGCUAGACAUCUUAAUAAAUUAUUAAUUUUUUUGUUUAUUUAUAUAUAUUAUGACUGGUUAAUUGCUGUCUGGAAAGCAUGAAUCACAGAUCGAGCUUUUGCUGAUGUAAAUGGUGCCAUGGAACAGUUAAAACGUAGUCAUAAUAAUCACUAAGGCCUUGUAUAUAUUUCCAGGUUGCCAAGGGCAAACUGCUUUAUGUUUGUGUUCAUGUAUGUUUCAGUGACAGCAGAUGGCAGUGAAGAGAAGCAGCGUUAUUAGAUUAGACAUUCCCAAACUAGAUGUGUUUGUGGACAGUGGGGAUCUGUUCUCUGAUAUGCUGGGACACGUGAUAGGACUGACGGAAAGUCCCAGCUUUAUUUAUACUCAACAUCAUUCUGGGUUGUUCCCCUCAUACCAGUCAACGCUUUUAAUAAGAAGAAUUUGAACCUGUUUCACUAAAUUUUAAUGUUUAUGUGCGUCAGAACCUUUUUUUCAGCACAGAUAAUAAAAAACUGCACAACUUAAACACAGAGAGUAGUGUAUACAGGUAAGUGACACUCAGUGCCCCUGCUUUUUUUUUAAAGUUAUCAUUUGCUAGAAAAGAAACUCUCUAGAUUUUACCGGGCUGAUUGCUCAGAUUUAUUAUUUCCUACACUGUCAGUCAAAUGUUUACCUUUUUGGUUAAACUUAAAGAAAUGAGUUAAAUACCAUAGAAUUACAGACACAUACACUCACCAUCCAGUUUAUUAGAAAGAUCUGUACACGGGAGUCAUUCGUGCAGUUAUCCAGUCAGCCAAUCAUGUGGCAGCAGCACAAUGUAUAAAAUCACGCAGAUACAGGCCAAAGCUUCAGUUCUCUGUAAACUUUAGAGACUGUUGUGUGUGAAAAUCCCAGGAGAUCAGGAGUUUCUGAAUUAUUCAAAUCAGCCCCUCUGGCAGCAACAACCAUGCCACAUUUAAGGUCACAGGGAUGCCACCCCCCACCCCCCAUUCUGAUGCUUGACAUUAACAUUAACUGAAGCUCUUGAUCUGUAUCUGCAUUAUUUUUUGCAUUGAACUGUUGCCACAUGAUUGGCUGAUUGGUUAACUGCAUGAAUGAGCAGAUGUACCUAUUAAAGUGGAUGACAUGUUUUGUGUUACACUUGACAAUAUGUCUAAUAUCAACUGUAAGAUCAGUGUAGACUUAGAGUAACAUCUCCAUGGCACCAGUACCUCACUUAUGGAUCUGUGAAAGAUGAAGACAGACGCCACAUUGAGAGAGAUAAAGGAGUGGCUGGCACACCCGUGUCACACACUUCAAAGCCGGGCAAGGAGGAGCAGGAACCUCGAUGGAUGGAUGGAUGUCGAGUACACAGGAAAAAAAUCACGAGAAUAUAACUUUUGUUAUAUCGAGAUCACCAGAAAACAAGAAAGAAAAAAAUAAUAAUGCAUGGCUGCUUAGCGUUUCCCUGUUUAAUGGCGGUUGACAAGCCAAUUAAUGGUGUAUUACCGCCACCAAGUGGACUGGAGUGUGAAGCAUUAAUAAGAAGGGGUAUAUAAUAUGUUUAUUAAAUCCUAUGUUCCAAUCCUGUUCCCCUGAGAUAAUUAAGUAUUUUUCUUUGUAUUUUUGACUGUCCUGAAGCACAAUUCAAUAGGUUUGGUAAGGUGAAAUUGAUUAAAUUUAUAUUUCUCAAUUUAUUUAAUCAUUCCUCUCUUUCCCUUGUAAACAUUACACAAUCAUACAUGUUCAACAGUCUUCACCACAUGUCAAGCAUAAUCAUGUUUGAUGUUUCCCUAUUUUCAGCAAUGAAUGAUUUAAUCCAGAAUGUCCUAUUCGGAGCCGAGUGAUAAUUGUAUUUUCUCUCCUAUUUUUUGAGACCUAUUCUCCCUUUCCCAACCUGUUUUUGGCUAUUGAAUAGGUGCCUUCCCUUUUUUCCUUUGUCCCACAUUUCACAUUCACAAGUUCUCUCAUUCUUCCUUCUACUGCUUCUUUACCUAGUGGUAUAUGGUAUAUAUGGUAUAACUUUAACAUCCACAUGAUCCAUUGUCCACUAUUUCAUUUCCUCAUACUCCCACAUGUGCUGCUACACAAAGAAAUCUCAGAACCAUCCCUAGUUUCUGAAUUCUAAGCAGAUGUGUAAGUAUCUCAUAUACUAAAUCUUGUCUUGAAUCAGACUUCCCAUUUAAUAAGCUAUUUAAAGGUGAUUGAGAGUCUGGACAAAUAGCAGCAAAAUCACUAUAAACUCUGUUGUAAAAACUGAUACAUAAUUAGUUGUCCAUUUUUUUAAUGCUGCCUUUGAACCUCUUAAUAUAUACCACUGCAGCUGUUUUUUCUAAUGUAGGAUCUUUUGAACCAUUGGUGAAUAUGUGGGGCAUUGAAGAGUAUUCCUGAUCUAAAUACUGCUGUACAAUAACCUCCUUAGGUAUAUAUGUUUCAUUCUUAACUUUAUAUUGUAGAUGGAAAUUGACUUGAGCCAUGGGGAACAACCAGGGAGGUUUAUUUAGUACUACAAUUGUUGGAUUAACUGAAGUUUCUGUAACUCCCAAAUUCAUAGACUCUUUAUUCGCUGUCCAACCAAAACUUCUUAUAUUAUUAUUCCCACACUUCCAGCACUCUUGUAGUAUUUCCUUAACUGGGUGUGUCUCAGAAUGUCCUUUCAUAUUAAUCCAAUAAUUCAUUGUUAAUUUUAACUUGCGUAUACACAUGGGCAUUUCUCCCACCUCCAUUUGUGCUGCUGUUAUUGGAGAGGAUACAAAAGCACCACAACAUAUUCUUAACAAUUGUGCCUGUACUGUUUCAAUUUUCCUCAUCAAGGCUAAUGACGCAGACCCAUAUAUAUCCAUAAUUCAGUAGUGACCUGAUCAAUGCACAAUUUAUUUGUUAUGAAGAUUUUUGACUAGCUCCCCAUUCCAUUCCUGCUAGACAUCUUAAUAAAUUAUUAAUUUUUUUGUUUAUUUAUAUAUAUUAUGACUGGUUAAUUGCUGUCUGGAAAGCAUGAAUCACAGCUGGAGCUUUUGCUGAUGUAAAUGGUGCCAUGGAACAGUUAAAACAUAGUCAUAAUAAUCACUAAGGCCUUGUAUAUAUUUCCAGGUUGCCAAGGGCAAACUGCUUUAUGUUUGUGUUCAUGUAUGUUUCAGUGACAGCAGAUGGCAGUGAAGAGAAUCAGCGUUAUUAGAUUAGACAUUCCCAAAGUAGAUGUGUUUGUGGACAGUGGGGAUCUGUUCCCUGAUAUGCUGGGACACGUGAUAGGACUGACGGAAAGUCCCAGCUUUAUUUAUACUCAACAUCAUUCUGGGUUGUUCCCCUCAUACCAGUCAACGCUUUUAAUAAGAAGAAUUUGAACCUGUUUCACUAAAUUUGAAUGUUUAUGUGCAUCAGAACCUUUUUUUUCAGCACAGAUAAUAAAAACUGCACAACUUAAACACAGAGAGUAGUGUAUACAGGUAAGUGACACUCAGUGCCCCUGCUUUUUUUUUUUUAAGUUAUCAUUUGCUAGAAAAGAAACUCUCUAGAUUUUACCGGGCUGAUUGCUCAGAUUUAUUACUUCCUACACUGUCAGUCAAAUGUUUACCUUUUUUGGUUAAACUUAAAGAAAUGAGUUAAAUACCAUAGAAUUACAGACACAUACACUCACCAUCCAGUUUAUUAGAAAGAUCUGUACACAGGAGUCAUUCGUGCAGUUAUCCAGUCAGCCAAUCAUGUGGCAGCAGCACAAUGUAUAAAAUCACGCAGAUACAGGUCAAAAGCUUCAGUUCUCUGUAAACUUUAGAGAGACUGUUGUGUGUGAAAAUCCCAGGAGAUCAGGAGUUUCUGAAAUAUUCAAAUCAGCCCCUCUGGCAGCAACAACCAUGCCACAUUUAAGGUCACAGGGAUGCCCCCCCAAUUCUGAUGCUUGACAUUAACAUUAACUGAAGCUCUUGAUCUGUAUCUGCAUUAUUUUUUGCAUUGAACUGUUGCCACAUGAUUGGCUGAUUGGUUAACUGCAUGAAUGAGCAGAUGUACCUAUUAAAGUGGAUGACAUGUUUUGUGUUACACUUGACAAUAUGUCUAAUAUCAACUGUAAGAUCAGUGUAGACUUAGAGUAACAUCUCCAUGGCACCAGUACUUUACUUAUGGAUCUGUGAAAGAUGAAGACAGAAGCCACAUUGAGAGAGAUAAAGGAGUGGCUGGCACACCCGUGUCACACACUUCAAAGCCGGGCAAGGAGGAGCAGGAACCGGCUGAACAUAAACGUAAAGUUCAAUAAUAAAAAAAUCUCAAACAUAAUGUAAAACACACAAACGUAGGCCAAACACAAAGCACACAUGUGUCUCUCUCCCACUGGUGCUUCAAGCCGCUCCUUUAUCUCUCUCUCCUCACACCCUGGCUUCUCCCUUCUCCCCGUCACAUGAACAUUGGGACCUGAAAAUGCUGCAGAGUAUUAAAAUAUCAUAAUAAAUGAAUACAUGAACCUUUGUACAACUAUUAACUGUCCAAUUCACAAUAUAGCAGAAAAAUGAUCAAUAAACUAACUUUUUUUUUUUUAGCAAAUACAUGUCUAUAAAUGUCUAUCCUUCAUUUGUGUUUAUUUGCUGAUCUGCCAGAUUUGUUGUGUACAGCAAAUAAAGAUGAUUACAAGAUAAGAUAAUUCUACUGUAUUUCUCAAGAACAUUGUUAUUCCAUUGUUAUUGCGAGGUUACCGAUUCACAUGAAGCUCAUUUUACUUAUAAGGAUGGAAAUUAGCUAAUUAGUUCAAUCAGCUAUGUUAGGAGCAUGUAAAACACUAAAAUGCACAGGACAGAGGGUACUCCAUGACCAGGUCUGGGAAUCUGUGCCAUAGAGUGUGUUUUUUUUGUUUGUUUGUUUGUUUUUUAAAUGUAAAUGUUCAAUACACAUGUAUGCAAAAAAAAAAAGAAAAGUUUAUACAUACACCUUAAACAGUUCAAUAACAACUCACCAUAUACUACAUGUCUGAACACUGAUUAUUAAUUAUUAACCUCAAGUUAUUUUUAUGUCUUAUCCCCAGGUGUAGGAUGUAAACUAUUUAAACAUAGCAUAUCUAAUUAUUCCCCUUUCAUACAAUAUGGCCAGAUGUUUGUGGACACCUGACUAUCACAGCCAUAUGUGGUUCUUCCCAAAACUGUUGCCAGAAAGUUGGAAGCACACAAUUGUAUAGAAUGUCUCUGGAUGCUAUAGCAUUACGAUUUCCCUUCACUGGAAAUAAGAGGCCCAAACCUGCUCCAGCAUGACAAUGCCACAGCAAAUGGGGACUAAAACUGGAAAGGAAUGUUCAAGAAGCACAUAUGGUGUGAUGGUCAGGUGUCCACACUUUUGAUGUAGUGUAUUUAAAUAUAGUAUAUAUAAUUAUUCCCCCUUUCAUAUAUUCAGAACUGCUGAAGAUUACUUUACAAACUAGUCUUCGCAGCAGGUCUCUGCGGAUGUCACACGCCUUUGGCCUUGCCUUAUCACAGAACUGCCAGUCCAUAUUUAUCAGUCUGAUACAGUACACACCAAAUACCAGAGAAUCCAAUGGCUGAUACAGCACCCACCAAAUUCUAAUUUUCAUAUAAUUUGACUGCUAAACAAAGCAGACGAUUUGGCAUCAGUAAACCAGAACAGAAUUUGCAUUUGUUUUGCAUACUUUUGGCAAAGGCAUUCUUUCAAGGCGUGUUCCCAUGCUUUGAAAGAUCAAGUGUGAUAUUAUUGUGGAGACACGAAAUAAAUUUGAGCUCUUAUAUGGAAAAUAAACUCAAAUAAUAUCAAUCACCAUAUAUCAACAAUACAGUAUAUAAUACAGUGGCAAUAUGGUAAGUUAACAAACUCUGUGACAUCUUAAAGAUGUUUUUCACAAAAGCAGAAGUCAUUAAUAUGCUGGUUUUGAGAGGCUUUUCUCACUUGUGCACACACUGCACAAAAGAGCUGCAACAACUAAUCAAUAAAAUCGAUAAUAAUCGAUUAUGAAAAUCAUCAAUGAAUCUCAUUAUCAAUUAGUUGGUCUGCGCACGGCACAGGGGAGAUUUACUCAUUAUGUUACUUCCAUCCAUCCUCUAUACCACUUUAUCCUUUUCAGGGUCACAGGGAACCUAUCCCAGUGAGCAUUGGACACAAGGCCGGGUAUACCCUGGACUGGGCAGGGUACAGUCCCAUACACACUCACACACCCAUUUAUACACUUUGGACAUGCCAAUCAGCCUACAAUGCAUGUCUUGACUGGGGGAGGAAACCGGAGUACCCGGAGGAAACCCCCGCAUCACGGGGAGGACAUGCAAACUCCGCACACACAGGGACAAUCGAGUUGCAAGACCUUCAGUGAAAUAACCAAGUAAUUCGAUUAAGCCAGAGGUUCUCAACCUUUUGCAACUAAAGCCCCCUCAAAACCUUCCCUAUCAUGUGGCACAAAAAAAGUCGCUAAAGGGGUCUGAAAAGUCGCUACGUUGCCAACAGUGGUCUGCACUCACAGCUAGAUAAAAGGCAGGCUAAGCUCCACCUCUCCCCAGCAAUAAAAAAUACAGAGGGAGAGAGAACGCAGAGUUUUUCCAUUUCUGCACAUUCUAUUUGAAAAGCAGUAAAAUACACAGAGUACCCAAAUGAUGCCCUGUCUGUGAAUUCUAAAAACAUUUGCGCCCCCCUUCUGGUCUCGGCGCUCCCCACUGGUUGAGAACCACUGUAUUAAGCUAUUUAGGAUAAUGGUUAAGUUUGUUUAAGUGUCUGUAUAAUCUCCAUAUACCAUACAGGUGGAGUAUACAAAAUAUUUAGAAAACAAAUACAUCUCGUACUAUAAUGUCCACAUGCAGCUAGAACUAAGCUUUCUGAUUACAUAGUAACUCUGGAUGGCCUUUCUGUUUCAUCAUGUGCAGUAGUAAAAGACCUUGGUGUGAUUAUUGACUCCAGUCUUUCAUUUAAAGCUCAUGUAGAUAAUAUUACUAGGAUGGCCUUCUUUCAUCAUAGAAAUAUUGCUAAAUAAGAAAUAUAAUGUUUCUAAGGCACUACACAAGGCAGAAAAAUUAGUUCACGUUUUUGUUACCUCUAGUUUGGAUUAUUGCAAUGUCUUACUGUCUGGAUAUUCCAAUAGGAGCAUAAACAAACUCCAAUUAGUCCAGAAUACAGCUGCAAGAGUCUUUACUAGAACCAGAAGAUAUGACCACAUCACCCCUAUCUUAUCCACACUACAUUGGUUACCACGCAAACUUCGUACUGAUUAUGGUCAAUAUUAUACUGAAUGGUCUCACUCCACAGUACCUGAUCAAACUUUUGGUACUUUAUGAUUCACCAAGUCUACUCGAUCAAAAGGUGCAGGUCAUUUGUUGGUACCUUGAAUAGUGAAGGAUACAGCAGGGGGUAGAGCUUUCUCUUACAAAUCCACACAGUUAUGGAACAGUCUUCCAAUUAGUGUUUGGGAAUCAGACACAGUCUCAGUUUUUAAGUCAAGGUUAGGUCAAGGCUUUUGUGAAUAGUAUUUUCUUAUUUAAAAGAGCAGUUUUGGAGGGUUCAUGUGCAAAAUGUUGUGGUGAAUUGGGAUGUUUGGAUGCUGUCGCCCCCCACUCUUACAUGUUCACUCACACUUUAUGUCCCAGGAUGCCCUCAUGUCUGUGUUGCCUUCUGGCUCUCCCUUUUAGUUAUGCUGUCAUAGCUAGUCUUGUUGGAGUCCCUGCUUGCACUCUGCACACAAAGUACAUUGUCCUUAACUAUUACAAGACAAUAAGCCAAAAAUACCUAAUAAUCUCCUGUUUCUCUCUCUCUCUCUCUCUCUCUCUCUCUCUCAAGCUACACAUGCUACUCCUGAGAUAUCAGUGAUUCUGCCUGCCUGAUCCAUCCUGAUGCCCUACUUCUAGUUGGAGUUCUUAUCAAGUGGAAAUUACUUGCUGCUGCUGAGGAUGGCCCCACAUGGUGCAGCCUAAACAUAAUUUAGAUUAGAGUAUGGUACCACUUAAACAAUCAUGAAAAUGGCUCUGGGCCACAAUUCAUAUAAACAGUUAUGCUAUGAUGGCUUAGGACUACAAUGGCUAUGAUAGCUUAAGGACUGCAGUUGCCACAAACAGUUUUGCACUCCAAGUCUAUCAGUCUAUCUUUUUCCCUUGUAACACAAUUGCAUUGUUUGACCAUGUAGUGCACAGUUAAAGUCCUCAUUCAUAACUCCAAACAUUUUCAAUUCAAUUGAAAUACUAAUUCUCUUUUGAGUGACCAGCAAUUUGUAAACUUUUUUAUUUUGCUAUUUGACAGUUCCAUUGAUUUGAUCACCUUUUGCACAAUUGCCCAUAGAGUUAAGCACUAAUAGCAGCCAACUGGGGAAGGAAUCACACUGCUCCAUUCUCACACUAUAAACAUUUUCAGUGGAGGAGGAGCAUCACUGCCAAGAUCUUGUUUUUAUAGCAAAUGGUCUGAAUCAAAUAUAACAAAUGUCCAUAAACAAAGGCAAAAAGUAAGUGCGGUAUUCUAUGAUGUACAAAAGUAUUUCUAUUUUAAGAUAUAGAUUGUGAGAGGGAAAGGGAAACAGAUAGGGAGUAGAUAAUGUCUGCACACCAGAUAUAUAAAUAUACAUAUAUAUCCUUGGUAACCUUAUAACCCACACAGAGGCUGAGAAAAUCUUUUGUGUGGUAUUUGAGCUGUAGUUUGGUUAAAUGAUAUCUGGGUGUGCCAUGCACAAUGUGACACUGUGAUGCACACCUGCUCUAUCAAUUACAGCUGAACAAAGGUACAUCUAUGUAACUGUGCUGAAUGACUAUGUUGUUUAUUCUCAACUACGUAUUAUGAGGUAACUAAAAAAAAAAAAAUCAAUAGAUAGUAGCCUAUAGCAAUUUCACAAUAAAGGUGAAAAACAUUCUGGCAUGGUUUAAUUGUUGGCUGGUGGGAAAGAAUUUGCAAAUUGUACAUUAAAUGCUGUUGUUAGUGGUGAAACUUUUGUUAGUGGUAUGCUUAAAAGAGAGUGGGAAAUUAUGCCGGUCCAACCCUAAAAUGUGUUUGUAGGAAUAUUCCAGUUGGGAUUCUAAAACUAAGGUUCAUCAGUGUUCUUCCAGCUUUGUUUCUGGAGAAAAGCAUUUAAUAUUCUUGGGUGGUCUUUACAGUAAUAUAUAUUAAAGCAUUUGUAUUUAUUUAAGGGGUAUAUGUAGCAGACUUAAAAAGUAGUAUGGUUAAUGUGUGCACAUGCAUUAUUUGGUGCAUAGUUAUGGCUAGUUUAACUUUUAGUUACAUGUGAACAACAUUUAUGCUGUACAUUUCUGCUGAACAUUUCUGCUGAACUAAACAUUUCUGCUGAACUACACAUUUCUGCUGAACAUUUCUGAUGAACUACACAUUUCUGAUGAACUGAACAUUUCUGAUGAUCUGAACAUUUCUGCUGAACAUUUCUGCUGAACUACACAUUUCUGCUGAACUAAACAUUUCACCAAAUUCAGGGAGGGUGUGCACAUUUUUCACACUACAUUAAGGGUGGGGAUCCUUCUAGACUGUGGAACAGAAAUGUAAUCAGUGUGUCUCCACAGAUUUAUUUCACAUUGGAGUACAACCAUUUUUCUCUUUUACCAUUAUGGACAAAACAUCUGUUUCUUUUAAAACAUCAUCUUUAAAUGUUUUUUCUACCUCCUAAAGAACCCUCGGACUUAAGAGACGGAGACGAUGUUCGGAGUUGUUGACGCCCUGCUCAGGGUUAAACAAAAACAUCUUUACAAUAUCUUCAUGGAUAAAUUGUCAAACUAACAUCUUGUUUUUUUUUCUUGGAGCAGAAGUCAGGUUCUCUGUCAUUUCAACAGGUCCCCUUGUCGGUGAAUACACAGCAUUCUUCUAGGGGUAUUAGGAUUUCUCAGAGCAGACAUUGUAACAGAUAGUUGCAGAGGUUCUUCUGUGUUUUAACUACAACGUCUUAACCAUUAUUUAAACACUGAGAUGCACAACUCUCUCCUUAAUUCGUUAACAUAAACACAUUUGUAAGCAUUCU
ensembl:lncRNA